rnacentral:rRNA from 1 species
AUGUCGUCGCUCGCCGUCCGCUGCGGGCUGGAGUGGGAGCUCGGCUGGCUCCGGCGCCUCUUCACGGCCGCGGAUCUGGCGGCCGCCGACUUGCUCCUGCAGCUCAGCGGGGACUACGAGGCGGCCGCCGCGGCGUCGAAGGCCACGAUCUCCCCCUCGCCGCGCUCGGCGAGCUUGUGCUGCGAGGUCCCCGUCAAGGAAGAGAAGGAGCGGGUCGUCAAGGAGACGGCGCCCUUGCCGCUGGGGUCGCUGGACAGGCGGGCGAGGAGGAGCUUGGCAAGCUCGUGCCUCGAGGACCUCAUCGUGGUCGGCGAGGAGGAGCUGGAGCCCCCGCGGAUCGCCAGGGAGACGGCGCCGACACGGAGGAGGCGGGGCGGCGGUGUAGCUGCUGUCCGCUCUGUCCGCUUUUGGGUUCUUCCGUUGAAUGCCCGCAGUGUCUGCCCCAUGUCCGCCAAGCAGACAUGA